rnacentral:lncRNA from 1 species
UUUCUCUGUAUCGUCUCCAAGAUCAGAGACGACCCCUCCCCAAACCCUAGCAGCCGCCACCCCUCCCCUUCACCAUAAACCCGGCAGAAAUGAUUCUAGUGACCACCAAAAACACACCCAUGAACCCCCAGACCAUCCCAUCUAUGAAUCCACAGCCCUUUCUUCUCGAAUUAUUACCAAACGUCUCGAAUCUUCAUCUGAAGAAUCGUACCAAAAACUUAGUUCACCCAAUCUCCCCCAAAUCAAAACCCAACGUCCACCUGCCUUCCCUCGUCCCUAAACCAUCAACAGAUUCCCUCGAAUCUCGUUAAAUUUUCUCUAAUCUUAGAUCAAAGUUUGACCCCAAACCCUAGUUCUUUCAAGCUUGAGGUUCAGUGGACAGUUGAAGAUCUGUAGACCAAAUUGGAUUUUAAUCGUGUGUUUUCACAUUGAAAACACACGAUUAAAGUCCGCUUUGGUCCAGAUCAAAGGAUCCAAGAAUGAGUUCACGAUGGGGUCCGUUUUGGCCCCAAAUCCAAAGGUUGGAGGUUCGAACCGGAUCCUCAUUAAAACUGUAGGUUUCCGCUUAUUUCUCUUCUCUGUUAGUUUUGUUGAGUAAAUUCAUCUUCUACCCCUUUCUUUAGAAUCGAAUGCUUUGUGUUUGUUCUAUAUUUUGUUUCUUUUUUUUAUUAUUUUUUACAUCGAAUUAUUCAGCGUCCAUAAUGCUUUGUAUAAAACCACAACUACUGCUGUAAUUAUUUAAUGGUUAUUACUUGUUCAAAUUGGCCAAGUUUGCUCUUUGUUGUUCAUCAUUUGUUAGGUUCCUUCCUCAUUUAUAUUUGUCUAAGCUAAUUAGGAUUAGUUUCCAAUAUGGUUAGCUUAUUCUCUAUGUCUGUGUGAAUCAGCUUGACUUUAAUAGUUCAAUACAGGUUGCCUUGAAUCAGUCGUUUUAUUUGGAUACUAUUUGUAACUAAUCUGAGUGCAAGUUCUAGCUGAUUUUGCUGAAUUGAAUCUCAAUUAUUGUCCUGUAUUGGAUUCGGUUUUGAUGUGCUUGUUAGGUAUCGGUUCAUCUUGCUUGGUAGUUAAUUGAUUAGCUGAAUUGGUUAUAGCUGAUAGGUUGUGUACAAAUUCAAGGGAUGGAAUUAGGAUAGGAAUUCCAGGCAACUCAAGGGGUAAUUUGGUAUUCGAAAUGAGUUAGUAGUCUGUCAGUAGGAUAGGCAUUAAACUAAUUCAAAUUAACUAAAGUAAAAAAGGGAUCAGUUAGUGGAAGGGACAGCUUUUAGAGCAUCUUUAGAGAUUGGAAAUUAUAAAUAGUAGGUAAUAAUGAAAAGCUAAAAAGGUUCACAUAGGGAGGUAUAUUAAAAAGCUGGAAAGAAAAAGAAACAUAGGGGUAAUAAUGAGAGAUCCUUCUUACAGCUGUAAAAAAAGAGGGGGGGCGGCACGAAAGGGGGUCUGCUUUGGGUAUAAAUUAGAGAUGAGUAGAGAUAUUAAGAGGAACUUGAAGAGGCAGUAAGAGUGGGGAGAGUAAAAAACACAUAAAAAAGAAAGGAGUCCAGACCUUAGAUAGAUAUAGACACUAAGGAAGUUCUCAGCUCAGGAAUUCCCCCAGAAGCUCUCCCUCUUCAUUUUUUUUAAAUCUAAGUUUGAAUUCCAUCUUCCAAAACACCAAAAACAAAUAAAAAAUCAAAAAAAUCUCUACUGUUUCAUUGAGAAACUGCAAUCUGAUCCUUAUUUCCAUCUAGCCUCUUCACAUUUUGUAGUUUUAGUUGAGUUUUGGGCUUAUUGAAGUAGUGUGGUGAUGUUCAAGUGUUUUAGUUUAAUCUGCUGGUUUAAUUUGAGUUUUGAUCCUUCCUGGGAUUUUAUGUAUUCAUUCUCUGGGCUGUUUCCUAUUGUUCUUACUACUGGAAAUUGUACUUUGUUAUGAUUGCUGCUGAUUAUUUGCCAUAGCUGACUUCUUCUCCUUCUUCUGAUUAAAAUUCCAUUUCCAUGUAUUGUCCUUGUAUGAACUACGAAGGAUCCAUGUAAUUGGAUUUGAAGAUCAAAUGAAGAAAUUUGUUCGAAUUGGUUGCUAGAAUUUAUUUGAUUUAUGUUUGGUUUCUAUAUGUGAAAUAGUCCUUUUUAGGUGAAUGUUGUACUCGUGAUUGAAGAGAAUUUUUGUUAUAAUAGACAAGUGAUAAUGGCUGUUAAUUGAAUUUUAGCUAUAGAAACGGAGUAGUAACAAUGGUUUAGAGUAGCUUGAAUCAAUUUGAAAACAUUCAGUUUCCUUACGUAAUUAAGUCGUGUGUCUAGUUUGUUAUUCACCUUUGGUAAACGCUAUGAUUUGGCCAGUAGUUAAACAGGUAGUUGAUCAAUACUUUCAUCGAUUCAACUAAGGGAAUAUGGUCCUUCAAAUGUGAAGGCUACAACUUUCUCCCAAUGAGUAGCCCAGGCCCGUUACUCAUGCUCGUGCACGUUUGGCGUGGGA